rnacentral:rRNA from 1 species
AUUGAACGCUGGCGGCAUGCCUUACACAUGCAAGUCGAACGGCAGCACGGGAGCAAUCCUGGUGGCGAGUGGCGAACGGGUGAGUAAUAUAUCGGAACGUGCCCAGUCGUGGGGAUAACGUAGCGAAAGCUACGCUAAUACCGCAUACGAUCUAUGGAUGAAAGCGGGGGAUCGCAAGACCUCGCGCGAUUGGAGCGGCCGAUAUCAGAUUAGGUAGUUGGUGAGGUAAAGGCUCACCAAGCCGACGAUCUGUAGCUGGUCUGAGAGGACGACCAGCCACACUGGGACUGAGACACGGCCCAGACUCCUACGGGAGGCAGCAGUGGGGAAUUUUGGACAAUGGGCGCAAGCCUGAUCCAGCAAUGCCGCGUGCAGGACGAAGGCC